rnacentral:rRNA from 1 species
AACGAACGCUGGCGGCAUGCCUAACACAUGCAAGUCGAACGAGCCCUUCGGGUCUAGUGGCGCACGGGUGCGUAACGCGUGGGAACCUGCCCUUAGGUUCGGAAUAACUCCCCGAAAGGGGUGCUAAUACCGGAUAAUGUCUUCGGCCCAAAGAUUUAUCGCCUUUGGAUGGGCCCGCGUUGGAUUAGCUAGUUGGUAGGGUAAAAGCCUACCAAGGCGACGAUCCAUAGCUGGUCUGAGAGGAUGAUCAGCCACACUGGGACUGAGACACGGCCCAGACUCCUACGGGAGGCAGCAGUGGGGAAUAGUGGACAAUGGGCGGAAGCCUGAUGCAGCAAUGCCGCGUGAGUUAUGAAGGCCUUAGGGUUGUAAAGCUCUUUUACCCGGGAUGAUAAUGACAGUACCGGGAGAAUAAGCUCCGGCUAACUCCGUG